GCUGGCGGCGUGCUUAACACAUGCAAGUCGAACGGAAAGGCCUGCAGCUUGCUGCGGGUACUCGAGUGGCGAACGGGUGAGUAACACGUGGGUGAUCUGCCUUGCACUUCGGGAUAAGCUUGGGAAACUGGGUCUAAUACCGGAUAGGACAGCUGUUUAGUGUCAGUUGUGGAAAGUUUUUUCGGUGCAAGAUGAGCUCGCGGCCUAUCAGCUUGUUGGUGGGGUAAUGGCCUACCAAGGCGUCGACGGGUAGCCGGCCUGAGAGGGUGUACGGCCACAUUGGGACUGAGAUACGGCCCAGACUCCUACGGGAGGCAGCAGUGGGGAAUAUUGCACAAUGGGCGGAAGCCUGAUGCAGCGACGCCGCGUGGGGGAUGAAGGCCUUCGGGUUGUAAACUCCUUUCGACAGGGACGAAGCUUUUGUGACGGUACCUGUAUAAGAAGCACCGGCUAACUACGUGCCAGCAGCCGCGGUAAUACGUAGGGUGCGAGCGUUGUCCGGAAUUACUGGGCGUAAAGAGCUCGUAGGUGGUUUGUCGCGUCGUCUGUGAAAUUCCGGGGCUUAACUCCGGGCGUGCAGGCGAUACGGGCUGACUUGAGUGCUGUAGGGGAGACUGGAAUUCCUGGUGUAGCGGUGAAAUGCGCAGAUAUCAGGAGGAACACCGAUGGCGAAGGCAGGUCUCUGGGCAGUAACUGACGCUGAGGAGCGAAAGCAUGGGUAGCGAACAGGAUUAGAUACCCU
rnacentral:rRNA from 1 species